GGCGCUCCUCGCUUCCGUCUCUUGGGCUGCGUUUUCUUUGCUUUCUUCCCUGCCGCCGCCGCCGCCGCCGCCGCUUAUUGCCAGUCUGAGCCUUGGGGCAGGCAGAACAGAAGCAACCAAAGCUUGUUCUCCUUGCAGGGAGUGUGCACGAAUAGUUUGAUGUCAAACCAGUUCACAUCAAACUGAGCCAGUUUGGCAGUUGGAUCGCAAAUGGGGCCGGUCUCGUCUGCGAUGGAACCUUGGAGCCAGAGGAGAAUGAGGAACUGGACCCAACAGGGCCUGCUGGAACGGCAGCAGUUCGGCUGCAAAGGCUGGCAUUCUUCUGUACCCACCAUCACUUGCCCAUUCACCAAGGCUUUUUCCAGAUUACACACUGCAGUGUACUCACACCAUAUCCUCUAAGUGCCCCUCCAUAUUACUUGUGUUUCCACAUCGGUGUUGCUACGCUGUCAGCAGGGUGUGUUCACAUUUCCCAUGCCUUGAUUCAAAUUUUAAUGAUACGUUUUUGCACUACAAUGUUGUAAAUGCGCUGCAGGGAAGUAGCUGCAUUUUUCCGUUGUAGGAAGCCUUGCCCUGCAUUGGACAGUUCUUUGCCCCCGCCCUGUGCUUGCUUCCCUCAUCCCUUCCCCUCGGGAAAGAAACAGGCAGGGAGAAAUCUUGGCUUUCCCCUCCUUUCCUCCCACAGAUCCCAAACCCCACACCUCCCUCCUCCUCCACUUGCUUCCACUAUAACUUGAGCUUCUGAACACAGAAGAGGAGGGGGAGGGAGGAGAUCGGAGGGGUUUUAUUAUUAUUUUUCCACAGGGGCUCUUUUAUGCACCCCCCUUUUAAUUUGCUACUUUGGCCAGAGACUCAUAUUAGUGCAGCUGAGCAGAUUUCUGAAUCCCACCCUUUCUGGUGCACCUUUUACUGAAGAGGAAGCGCAUUGAACUAAAUCAUUUACUUCUGUGCAAUUACACUUAAGAGCCUCCCCAUCUCUUACAACUUUUUAAAAGGCAGUCAAGACACAUUUGUUCACCCAGGCUUUUAAUUACUGUUUAAUUGAUUAUUUUUAAUAGUUCUAACAUUUUAAAUUUUUAAUUGUUGCACUGUUGAAAUCUUUUUAUUUGACCGGAUAUAUGUUUUAAUUAGUUUUAGUCUCGAAAAAGAUCUUUCACCACUUGCUACUGAUAUUGGAAGCAUCAAUAGUAUCCAUAAUGAAAUUGCUAAAUUUUGAAAUACACUUAUUAAAUCGUUUGAGUAUAUAUAUAUUGCAAUAACUGCACUGUGUCAUAAUCCUUCAGUUCUUUAAUGGUAUCUUUGAAUAUCCUUAGUUCAUUGUAUAACUCUUGACCACUGAUAUCUAUUUCUUCACCAUCACUCAAAGCAAAUAGUAAAUUGUUGCACUUUUCUUUUAAAGAUUCAUCAUCUAGAUUGUAAAUUUCAUUGAAAUUUGAAGAGGAACUGAAAUUUUUAUGCAUGACUUGUCAAAAGAUCGAAUCUUUCAAUUAAAUAAUUGAUUAUCACAUCCAUAACUGGAUGGAAAAAUGAAGUUUUAUAUCUAUGUUGCGGGUUAACCGGCCUUUCUUCUUGACUUCCGUAAUCAAACACUUGUUUUUUUCAUCUGUGUUAUGUAUUGUCUCUGAAUGCUGGACAAAUUUCUAAAUCGUUUGCUAAUGCUUUUGCUGAUUCAAGUUACAAGAUUAAAGUUUUCAUCCAAGCGGAA